rnacentral:rRNA from 1 species
AUAUGAGUUUGAUCUUGGCUCAGGGUGAACGCUAAUAGUAUGCUUUACACAUGCAAGUCGAACGAAAUUUUUCGUGGCAAACGGGUGAGGAAUGCGUAAGAACUCUGCCUUUUAGACCAGAAUAAACAUAUUCGAAAAUUCAAAAGUUUUCGAGAAAAAAUAUUGUAUUUGUGUUAAUACUGGAUAAUUUCACAAAAAGGUCAAUUUUAUGGACGACCGCUAAAAGAUGAAUUUACGUAAGAUUAGGUAGUUGGUAGUGUUAAUAGCUUACCAAGCCGAUGAUCUUUAGUUGAUCUGAGAGGAUGAUCAACCACACUGGAACUGAGACAAGGUCCAGGCUAAGUUUUUGGCCAGCAGUGAGGAAUAUUGGACAAUGAACGAAAGUUUGAUCCAGCAAUACUAUGUGAAUGAUGACGGCUGAUUUAUAGAAAUGAUGUUUUAAUUACAAAAUGUAACUUGAUUAAAAUAUUGAUUCUGGUUGUAAAGUUCUUUCGUUGAAAAUGAUAGUGACAUUAUUCAAAGAAGUUUUAGUCCCGGCUAAUCUCGUGCCAGCAGCCGCGGUAAUACGGGAGGGGCAAGCGUUAUCCGAAAUGACUGGGCGUAAAGAGUCCGUAGACAGUACUGUAAGUUAUUUGUUAAAUCCUAAAGCUUAACUUUAGAAC